rnacentral:rRNA from 1 species
AUUGAACGCUGGCGGCAGGCCUAACACAUGCAAGUCGAACGGUAGCACAGAGAGCUUGCUCUCGGGUGACGAGUGGCGGACGGGUGAGUAACGUCUGGGAAACUGCCCGAUGGAGGGGGAUAACUACUGGAAACGGUAGCUAAUACCGCAUAACGUCGCAAGACCAAAGUGGGGGACCUUCGGGCCUCACACCAUCGGAUGUGCCCAGAUGGGAUUAGCCAGUAGGUGGGGUAAUGGCUCACCUAGGCGACGAUCCCUAGCUGGUCUGAGAGGAAGACCAGCCACACUGGAACUGAGACACGGGCCAGACGCCUUCGGGAGGCAGCAGUGGGGAAUAUUGCACAAUGGGCGCAAGUCUGAUGCAGCCAUGCCGCGUGUAUGAAGAAGGCCUUCGGGUUGUAAAGUACUUGCAGCGGGGAGGAAGGCGGUGGAGUUAAUAACUUCACCGAUUGACGUUACCCGCAGAAGAAGCACCGGCUAACUCCGUGCCAGCAGCCGCAGUAA